AAUGCUGAAGCACGUACCAGGGGCUGAACCUUCCCGGCAACUGCAGCGCAGCCUCUCGUGUUUCUGAAGAGCUGCGUGGACCCCUGAGGGGAGGGGGGUGCAAGGGGUCGCUGCAUGUGGCUGAAUGCUGCUUUGCGAGGCUCAGGCUCAGAAAAAUGCCAGGGGGUUCAGGAAAAUGUAGCAGAGUGAUGAAGGAUUGUGUUGCAUCAAUUCUGCUCCUGGCUGCUGUGUCAAGCCAGAAGCUGGAGGUCAAGUGCCUGCUGCAAAUCCAACUCUGAUCUCACAUAAGUCUUUUGCCUCUGUGUCUGUCGUCAGUCAGGUGUGUGCCUACCCUUUGCACAAGUAAAGAUUCUGUUAACAUGUGUGACACUUUUGGGACAAGACAAAAAUUUGGAUCUUGGGCAUGGCUGGUGGUCAGUAAUUCCAUAAAUUGGUGGUCAGUAAUUCCACAAAGGAUUUCACAAGGCAACAGAAACAGAGACUGCAGGAGAAGCCUCUGGUCAGGAAAACAAAUGGAAGAGGAAACACAAAACAUCCCUGGGAAUGAAUUCAGGAGCUGUCCGGAGCCAAUAGGGAAAUCCUGGUGCCUGUAAGGUAGCACAAAAACUGCCAGGUAUAAAUUCAACCUCUGAAAUGACAGGCAGAUUCUCUCUGAUUUUUCCAGUUUACGUGAUUUGCUGACUUCUGGAAAAUAUUGGGAGAUUCUUGGACCAAAAUGCAAAUGAAUGACCUGUGAAUUCUCGGUGGCAUUAAAGUUUCUUAAUUGGAAACUCAUUAUUUUACUGAAUUCAUUUAAACUCAUGUAAAAGGGGGAACCAUCAAAAUAGAUAUUCUCAUGUUAUCCUCUAGGUUUUCCCCCUUUCAAGUACUAUUCCACAGAACUGAAAGUUUUCCCUUCCCCUUUCAAAUACACAUUCCCCGAUCCUUGUCAUUAAUCUCAAUUCUGUGCUUGCUUUGAAUAUCUUCUCUAGCUUCUCAUAGUUAUUUCAUUCCAUCCCCUUCCCUGACAGCAGACCUAUGUUCUCCCAGAAGACAUUUCUAUUUACAUUUU